GACGAACCGUGCAAACGUUAUUCGGAAUCACUGGGCUUAAAGGGCGCGUAGGCGGGCCGUCAGGUCCGGGGUGAAAGCCUCCAGCUCAACUGGAGAAGUGCCUCGGAUACCGGCGGCCUCGAGGGAGGCAGGGGCGUGCGGAACUUCGGGUGGAGCGGUGAAAUGCGUAGAUAUCGGGAGGAACACCUGUGGUGUAGACGGCUAUCUGGACGGCGACUGACGCUGAGACACGAAAGCGUGGGUAGCAAACAGG
rnacentral:rRNA from 1 species